CUAGCCAUGCGAGUCAUAUGUUCUUCGUGAACAUGGCGUACUGCUCAGUAACACGUGGAUAACCUGCCCUUGGGUCCGGCAUAACCCCGGGAAACUGGGGAUAAUUCCGGAUAACGCAUAUAUGCUGGGAUGCUUUCUGCGUAAAAUGGAUUCGUCUGCCCAAGGAUGGGUCUGCGGCCUAUCAGGUAGUAGUGGGUGUAAUGUACCUACUAGCCGACGACGGGUACGGGUUGUGAGAGCAAGAGCCCGGAGAUGGAUUCUGAGACAUGAAUCCAGGCCCUACGGGGCGCAGCAGGCGCGAAAACUUUACAAUGCGGGAAACCGUGAUAAGGGGACACCGAGUGCCAGCAUCAUAUGCUGGCUGUCCGGGUGUGUAAAAUACACCCGUUAGCAAGGGCCGGGCAAGACCGGUGCCAGCCGCCGCGGUAACACCGGCGGCCCGAGUGGUGAUCGUGAUUAUUGGGUCUAAAGGGUCCGUAGCCGGUUUGGUCAGUCCUCCGGGAAAUCUGAUAGCUCAACUAUUAGGCUUUCGGGGGAUACUGCCAGGCUUGGAACCGGGAGAGGUAAGAGGUACUACAGGGGUAGGAGUGAAAUCUUGUAAUCCCUGUGGGACCACCUGUGGCGAAGGCGUCUUACCAGAACGGGUUCGACGGUGAGGGACGAAAGCUGGGGGCACGAACCGGAUUAGAUACCCGGGUAGUCCCAGCCGUAAACGAUGCUCGCUAGGUGUCAGGCAUGGCGCGACCGUGUCUGGUGCCGCAGGGAAGCCGUGAAGCGAGCCACCUGGGAAGUACGGCCGCAAGGCUGAAACUUAAAGGAAUUGGCGGGGGAGCACAACAACGGGUGGAGCCUGCGGUUUAAUUGGACUCAACGCCGGACAACUCACCGGGGGGCGACAGCAAUAUGUAGGCUAAGCUGAAGACUUUGCCUGAA
rnacentral:rRNA from 1 species